GAUCAUGGCUCAGAACGAACGCUGGCGGCAGGCUUAACACAUGCAAGUCGAACGCGAAAUCACCUUCGGGUGGUGGAGAGUGGCAGACGGGUGAGUAACGCGUGGGAAUCUACCUGAUGGUACGGAAUAACUCAGGGAAACUUGAGCUAAUACCGGAUGUGCCCGAGAGGGGAAAGAUUUAUCGCCAUCAGAUGAGCCCGCGUCGGAUUAGCUAGUUGGUGGGGUAAAAGCCCACCAAGGCGACGAUCCGUAGCUGGUCUGAGAGGAUGAUCAGCCACACUGGGACUGAGACACGGCCCAGACUCCUACGGGAGGCAGCAGUGGGGAAUAUUGGACAAUGGGCGCAAGCCUGAUCCAGCCAUGCCGCGUGAGUGAUGAAGGCCCUAGGGUUGUAAAGCUCUUUCGACGGGGACGAUAAUGACGGUACCCGUAGAAGAAGCCCCGGCUAACUUCGUG
rnacentral:rRNA from 1 species